CCACCGAGGCGACGAUGCGUAGGGGUUCUGAGAGGAAGGUCCCCCACCCCGGUACUGAGACACGGACCAGCCUCCUCCGGGAGGCAGCAGUGAGGAAUAUUGGUCAAUGGGCGGGAGCCUGAACCAGCCAAGCCGCGUGAGGGAAUAAGGCCCUAUGGGUCGUAAACCUCUUUUGUCGGGGAACAAAAGCGGGGACGCGUCCCCGUCUGCGUGUACCCGAAGAAAAAGCAUCGGCUAACUCCGUGCCAGCAGCCGCGGUGGUUCGGCGGCUGCGUGCGUUGUCCGGCUUUUUUGGGUUUUUUGGGUGCGUCGGCGGUGUGGUGAGUCGGCGGUGGUGGCCCGGGGCUCAACCCCCGGCGAGCCGUUGAAACUGCCGUGCUAGAGAGGAAGAGAAGUAGGCGGAAUGCGCCAGUGUAGCGGUGAAAUGCUUAGAUAUUGCGCAGAACUCCGAUUGCGAAGGCAGCCUACCGGCUUCUGUCUGACGCUGAGGCACGAAAGCGUGGGUAUCGAACAGGAUUAGAUACCCUGGUAGUCCACGCAGUAAACGAUGAAUGCCGGCUGUCCGGUCCGACUGAGGACUGGGUGGCGAAGCGAAAGCGAUAAGCAUUCCACCUGGGGAGUACGCCGGCAACGGUGAAACUCAAAGGAAUUGACGGGGGCCCGCACAAGCGGAGGAACAUGUGGUUUAAUUCGAUGAUACGCGAGGAACCUUACCCGGGCUCAAACGGGAGAUGACGCGGGCAGAGACGCCCGUUUCUUAGGACAUCUUCCGAGGUGCUGCAUGGUUGUCGUCAGCUCGUGCCGUGAGGUGUCGGCUUAAGUGCCAUAACGAGCGCAACCCCUGCCGACAGUUGCUAACGCGUUGAGGCGAGGACUCUGUCGGGACUGCCGGCGCAAGCCGCGAGGAAGGCGGGGAUGACGUCAAAUCAGCACGGCCCUUACGUCCGGGGCGACACACGUGUUACAAUGGGGGGUACAGCGGGAAGCCAGGCGGCGACGCCGAGCGGAACCCGAAAGCCUCUCUCAGUUCGGAUCGGAGUCUGCAACCCGACUCCGUGAAGCUGGAUUCGCUAGUAAUCGCGCAUCAGCCAUGGCGCGGUGAAUACGUUCCCGGGCCUUGCACUCACCGCCCGUCAAG
rnacentral:rRNA from 1 species